rnacentral:lncRNA from 1 species
CUACUCCUAUCCUCUUGGGAGGGCUGGAGUGCCAGGGACAGCCGGGCAGGUCCCCGGCUGUCGCUUCUUCCGGAGUCCGAAGCGGCGGAACGGAGCUGCUCCCCUGUAUCGCCCGGGCUGGGAGGAGGGGUUCCUGAUUCCCGCCCCGUCACGCCCAUCUUCUGACCCGAUACAGGCAGUGAGGCGGCCGACCGGGCGGAGCUAAGGGCGGUGCGGAAUGACCCCUGAAGGCAGGGUCGAGGCUACCGAGAGCGGGACGGGAGUAGGCUGCAUUUACUGUUGCGUACCUCUUCAUUUCGGAGCACACGAUAGAGGUGGCACCAUUCCAACAAUUGUAGUUUAGUCUAUUUUUAACCAAAGUAGGGGUAGCUCCACCGAAAUGGAGCCUCAAAAAAUUUCUCGACACUCGUGCCUGUUCCUCUCCACGGAAAUCUUUAGUAAAAGGCGAAAGAUUUAUACGAUCUGAAGAGAAACCAGAGUAUACCGUGACGUGGUUCUCGGCAGGUACCCAUUCUCGACUGUCCCACUGAGGAUAGAGCGACCCUCACUGCCCCAAAGUUCGACCUCUGCUGCCUCGUGCCGUUCUCCCGGCAGCAGUCAGAGCUCAGUCUGGCACCGGAUCAGCGGUACCGAGGAGCGACGGCCCGAACUUUACCGUGUCUGCUGCACCCCCGCGCGGUGCACCCUGGGUGGUUCAGCCUCAGUAUUUCCAGAGGAAUCAAGACACCUCUGAUCUCCAGAAAUUCAGUAAGGUAUCUGUGGCUGCAAGGCUUCAAGAAUAAGAGGAACAAGGCCAGAAAUGUCACUUGCCUCGGAGCCCAUCUUCCGCUGCCAGCCUGCCAUGUCCUGGGUAUCACCUCCCAUCUCACUGCAGUGGGUAGAGGUCUGAACUGGAUACUGUCUCUGCAGAAGAGUAUGGACUGUCCUCUUACAGGCUGAGACACUUCUCAUCCAAAUGUGAGAAAAGCACUGAUUCUAGGCUCCUGAGAGAUGGGUUGCAUGGCUUUCCCUUCAGUUCCAUCUUUUGAUAACCAGGGUGUUUUUUAAGCCUGCAGAAUGUGGCUGGAUGUGGAUGUCUCUGUACAAAAGCUUGUUCUUUAAACAAAUUUUCAGUAGAGACCUUGCCCAUCCUCUCCAUCUCACUACCACACAGCACCUCCAGCUGUCCAAGGAAACAGAUGCAACAUCCUGAGCCACACUGUUAGGUGAGCCAGAAACAAUCUGUCUCUCUGGGAACUCCAGCUCCAGCUCUGGUUCUGCCUUGUUUUAAUGAAUCUCUUGAGGAUGCAACAGUUGUUUGAGCAACUUUGUGGGCACUAGCCCAUUCCUGCAAGAAAACCAUGAUGGCUAAUGGUUUCCUGCUCUUUGACAGAUGUCAUGAUCUCUUCUGCCUAGAGAAAAAUGAGAAAGAAGUUUAAAAAGGUCUGUGAAGAAAAACUGUACAAAUGAAUUAUUACUAGAAUCAUAUUUUAAAUCUCUGUCAAAUAAUAUUAAAGCAAUUAGUAACCAUUUAAUAUCAUUUUCUCUUAUACUCAUUUCAUAGAUAGGAAAACUAGCAAAAGGAGAGUUCCUGAUAUGUCUGAAGCUGCACAAUGAAUCUGUGACAGACUUGAGAUUUUCCUGGGCAGGUGGUUUCACCACAGUUCUUUUCUCUGCUCUGCUAAUAAAGUCAUUUUGAU